rnacentral:rRNA from 1 species
GUGGGGAAUUUUCCGCAAUGGGCGAAAGCCUGACGGAGCAAUGCCGCGUGGAGGUGGAAGGCCUACGGGUCGUCAACUUCUUUUCUCGGAGAAGAAACAAUGACGGUAUCUGAGGAAUAAGCAUCGGCUAACUCUGUGCCUG